rnacentral:rRNA from 1 species
AACGAACGCUGGCGGCAGGCUUAACACAUGCAAGUCGAACGAGAUCUUCGGAUCUAGUGGCAGACGGGUGAGGAACACGUUGGAACAUCCCUUUCAGUUCGGAAUAACGUUGGGAAACUAACGCUAAUACCGGACACGUCCUCCGGGAGAAAGAUUUAUCGCUGAAAGAUUGGCCCGCGUCUGAUUAGCUAGUUGGUGAGGUAAUGGCUCACCAAGGCUACGAUCAGUAGCUGAUCUGAGUGGAUGAUCAGCCACAUUGGGACUGAGACACGGCCCAAACUCCUACGGAAGGCAGAAGUGGGGAAUAUUGGACAAUGGGCGCAAGCCUGAUCCAGCCAUGCCGCGUGAGUGAUGACGGCCUUCGGGUUGUAAAGCUCUUUUGUCCGGGAAGAGAAUGACUGUACCGGAAGAAUAAGCCCCGGCAAACUUCGUGCCAGCAGCCGCCGUAA